rnacentral:misc_RNA from 1 species
UGGGCUUGACAUGUCAGUGACAGGUGUGGAAACACACUCUCCCUUCGGGGCGCGAUCACAGGUGGUGCAUGGCUGUCGUCAGCUCGUGUCGUGAGAUGUUGGGUUAAGUCCCGCAACGAGCGCAACCCCCGUCGCAUGUUGCCAGCAUUUAGUUGGGGACUCAUGCGAGACUGCCGGUGACAAACCGGAGGAAGGUGGGGAUGACGUAGAACGGUUGGUU